rnacentral:lncRNA from 1 species
AGGGGGCGUCCCGCGGGCUCGGACCGCGCAGCCGGGACCCGAGGGGCCGCGCCGCCUCCUCCCAGCCGGCAGCCCCGGCUCGGCGGGAGCUUCGGAUCCUCUCUGGUCUGCAGCGGAAAGCGGCGGUGGCGGAGACCAGGUCGGGGAGCUCUGCGACUUGGGGUUCUUCACCAGUCUAGGCCGGACUCCACUGCCACAAAAGUAGAUGGAAACCACACAGGCCCAGGUGAAGGCCCACGCAUUCCUUUGAGAAUGUUUUGAAAGGCACUAAUGGUUUCUCAGAUAAAUGCUUGUCUGCAUGUUCACAGAGUAUUUUGUGUUCGAUAUGAAAAGGCUACAGAGCACUCCCGGCCUCCUGUGUGCUCGGAUCUCCUGUAAUCCCAUGAUUUUAUGUUUAAGCUGAGCCUAUGGCUGUUCAGCAGAAGGCUGUUUCCUAGCUCUCUCGCAGCUGAAUAUGGCCUUGCAGCUAGACUCCAGCCAGUGAAACUCGGGUCCAAAUGUUGCACACACUUCUGUGUUGUAUGCCCGAAAGCUAAGGCAGCAUACUCCACCCCUUCACCCCUCAUCUGGAAAGUGGACGGAAACAAGGAGCAGUGCCACAGACUGCAAGCUGAAAGCCAUGCACUGAGGAGAGCAAGCAAAGAAUCCAGGUCUCCAACACAGAAGCAGCGGGUCACCUCGGCUGCUUGCACUCCCACUGUCAUGAGAGGUAGAAAUUCUUCCCAUCCCAUUGAAGCCACUGACAUUUUCUCCAGUGGUACAGCAGUUAGAUUUACAUCUGAACCAACAAAAGGCCAAGACCUAGAAAGGUAGAUAUCUCAUUCCUUUCUCUGCUGCUAUAACAGUUCCCCAGAGUGGUAGUUUAUAAACCCCAGAAGUUUGUCUGACUCACAGUUCUGAGAUGGAAGUUCAAGAGCACGGCCCUAGCAUCUGGCAAGAGUCUUCCUGCUACAUGUAAACAUGGUGAACCCACAAGCAAGGAUGGGCUAGACAGCAAGAGAAUGCGAGGGCAACCUCGCCCUCAUCAAGGACAGGACCUGGCUGCAGUAACUAGCCCUUCUCGUGAUUACAGCAUUGAUCCUUUGCAGAGGGCAGAGCCCCUAUGGUCCCAACCACCUCUUCCUGGUUGCACCUCUUAAUACUGUCCCGGUGGCAGUUAAAUUUUGUCACGAGUUUUGAAGGGGAUGUUCAAAGCACACCAGGGGAGAUCAAAUCUAUUGAGCUCUUUUAAUUAUAUAGAUAAGAGAAUAGAAAAUAAACUAAACUAAGGUCAAAAUCGGAUUUUUUUUUAACAAAUAUGAAGAAUGAACAAAGCAAAAGGAAAGUUUCAGAGCUAAUUUUGUGAGCAAUGAAGAUCUGUGGGAGGGCUGCCUGUGCCCCACCCAGGGGAAUCACUGAAUGGGGUUGAGAUGAGCUCAGCGUCAUGACCACUGUCUCUUAGAUCCCACUGCAUGGAGUACAGCUUGGAGUGCGUACGUUUGGGAUGAAUUUAGAUUCUUUUCUGUGUCGUAUGAGAAGAUAGAUGAGCAUAGCGUGAUUUGAACUACAGCAAAAUACAAUCUACAAUGGAUGGUUAGAUGGAUAAAUGGAUGGAUGGAUGAAUGGAUGGAUGAAUGAUGGGAGGAUGGAGCUGUUGAUCAUAAAUGAUAUAGUUGAUAUAAAUGAUAUAGUUGAUCAUAAAUGAUAUAGAUGAUUAAGAUAUGGAUGGUGUAAACAGAUACAGAUGGUCUAGACCUGGAUGAUCUGAAUAUGGAUAAUCUAGCUUACUAGACUUCCACUUAUAGUUGGCCAUGUCCAAGAAACAAUACCCUCUUGAAAUAUUGCAGUAGUAUUCAAUUUCUGCCUUUACUUUUGAUUUAGGUAAUCAGACCAGAAAAUCUAAUCAGUAAUAAAGGAAUCCUAGAUUUGAGUUACAAUAGAAAUCCAGUUAUUUGUAUCUGUCUUCCAUGUGGAGUUAGUAAUGAUUUGUUAAUUAUUUUUCUAAUUAGUUUUAUGAUUAAACAUUGUAUUGGACCUUCACUGUGUCAUCAAAACUAAUCUCUGUACUCAGAAUCCCAUGAAAUUUUCUUUAUAAAGAUGAACAAAAAUGCUUUGUAAUGAAAAAAAGUUAAUAAAAAGAUUAAUUAAGCAAAAACACACCCAGAUUUCUAUUCAAAUUGAGUUAAUGUGCUCCCCUUUGUUAAAAUUAGGAAUGUAAGAUGUUUUUUGAGAUAGAUAUACAAUAAAAAGCCCAAAUAAUGACCAUAUGUUGUAUUAUUAAAAUAUGUACUCCGGACUGAAAUUUUCCCUCUGUGUGAAGAACCCUCCUACCAUGCUUGGAAAGCACUUCCUGUGUGUCACUUGUAUUGCUAUACAGAUGACAUAAAUCAUG